GUUUCUGCUGUUGUCGCUCUUGUCCUCAAUGGGGACGAAAUAGUUGCACAGAUCGGCCUUUGUCGACGGCGGCAUUCCUUCCCACCACUCGUUCUCCCCAAUUAUCUGCUCCAGUUUUGGCAUCCUCCCCACCGGAAGCCUUCUGAGGUUUGGGCACCGCUCCACCUUAAUGUUCUGCAAGCAAGGCAAGUCCUCCGUUUGGCUGAUGCUCCUCAGCUUGCGCAGGUCGCUCAGCACCACGGAUCUCAGCUUCGGAAACCCAUCCCUUCUCUGUUCACAUGCUUCGACACCCUUUUCCUCCACCUCGGGUACGCCGUUGGUUCUCGUGGAAGCCCCAUCACACCCCUCGUGUACGACCUCUUCCAAUUCGUCGCACUGGGAGAUGACGAGCCGCUCGAGGGAUUCCAGGCGUAGCACCCACGACACGUUGCGUAAUUUGGGGCAUGACUUGAUGGUGAGGUCGCGGAGGUGUUGGAAUCGAUGGGGCGCCGGCCCCAGCGAGACUCGGACGAGGUCGGGCAGAAACGCGAGCGUGAGCAGCUUCAGUUCAACUCGCUUCUUCGUCGGUGGAAUGCUGGUGUCUUCCGUCUCGACGUGAUCGACUAUUAGGUCUUGCAGUUGGUUGCAGCUGUCGAUGUAGAGCUCCUUGAGGUGCCUCAUCU
rnacentral:lncRNA from 1 species